rnacentral:tRNA from 1 species
GAUUAGCUCAGCUGGGAGAGCACCUCCCUUACAAGGAGGGGGGCGGCGGUUCGAUC